CAAUAGCGUAUAUUAAAGUUGUUGCAGUUAAAAAGCUCGUAGUUGAAUUUCGGGUCCCCGCGCUCGGCGCUUCAUUGUGCCGUCGUGGUGUCCCUCCUCGCCGUAAGGCGUCCUUUACUGUGAAAAAAUUAGAGUGUUCAAAGCAGGCAAUCGCUUGAAUACAUUAGCAUGGAAUAAUAAGAUAGGAUCUUGUCUAUUUUGUUGGUUGCGGACAACGAUAAUGAUUAAUAGGGAUAGUUGGGGGUGUCCGUAUUGAGCUGUCAGAGGUGAAAUUCUUGGAUUUGCUCAAGACGAACUACUGCGAAAGCAUCCACCAAGGAUGUUUUCAUUAA
rnacentral:rRNA from 1 species